rnacentral:SRP_RNA from 1 species
GCUGGGCGUGGUGGCUCACACCUGUAAUCCCAGCACUUUGGGAGGCUGAGGCGGGUGGAUCACCUGAGGUCAGGAGUUUCAGACCAGCCUGGCCAACAUGGUGAAACCCCGUCUCUA